GGAUCGCAGAACAAACUCAGCUGGCAACAAGCAACCAGCCACCCCUUAAGAGUUUGAAUCAUGGCUCAGGACGAACGCUGGCGGCGUGCCUAAUACAUGCAAGUCGAGCGGACAGAUGGGAGCUUGCUCCCUGAUCUUUAGCGGCGGACGGGUGAGUAACACGUGGGUAACCUGCCUGUAAGACUGGGAUAACUCCGGGAAACCGGGGCUAAUACCGGAUGGUUGUUUGAACCGCAUGGUUCAGACAUAAAAGGUGGCUUCGGCUACCACUUACAGAUGGACCCGCGGCGCAUUAGCUAGUUGGUGAGGUAACGGCUCACCAAGGCGACGAUGCGUAGCCGACCUGAGAGGGUGAUCGGCCACACUGGGACUGAGACACGGCCCAGACUCCUACGGGAGGCAGCAGUAGGGAAUCUUCCGCAAUGGACGAAAGUCUGACGGAGCAACGCCGCGUGAGUGAUGAAGGUUUUCGGAUCGUAAAGCUCUGUUGUUAGGGAAGAACAAGUGCCGUUCAAAUAGGGCGGCACCUUGACGGUACCUAACCAGAAAGCCACGGCUAACUACGUGCCAGCAGCCGCGGUAAUACGUAGGUGGCAAGCGUUGUCCGGAAUUAUUGGGCGUAAAGGGCUCGCAGGCGGUUUCUUAAGUCUGAUGUGAAAGCCCCCGGCUCAACCGGGGAGGGUCAUUGGAAACUGGGGAACUUGAGUGCAGAAGAGGAGAGUGGAAUUCCACGUGUAGCGGUGAAAUGCGUAGAGAUGUGGAGGAACACCAGUGGCGAAGGCGACUCUCUGGUCUGUAACUGACGCUGAGGAGCGAAAGCGUGGGGAGCGAACAGGAUUAGAUACCCUGGUAGUCCACGCCGUAAACGAUGAGUGCUAAGUGUUAGGGGGUUUCCGCCCCUUAGUGCUGCAGCUAACGCAUAAGCACUCCGCAUGGGAAGUACUGGAAAG
rnacentral:rRNA from 1 species